AAAAGUGAAUGAAAGUUUCCGUAGACAGUAGGUGCUGAAAGGCAUAACGUAGAACAACCUACCGAGGGCAAUUAUAGUGUAUAUAAUAGUCUUCCUAUGUCUACGGGAAGACUUUUCUUAUUAUAUA
rfam:Clostridium perfringens str. 13 DNA, complete genome.